UAAUAGCGUAUAUUAAAGUUGUUGCAGUUAAAAAGCUCGUAGUCGGAUGUCGGGCUCGGAGAGGCUGUCGGCCUUUGGUCGGACGGCAUCUCCGGGCCUUUCUGCCUGGGGAUCCUACUCUGCUUAACCGCAGGGUAGUGGGACGCAGGCCGUUUACUUUGAAAAAAUUAGAGUGUUCAAAGCAGGCCUACGCUUGAAUACAUUAGCAUGGAAUAAUGGAAUAGGACUUUGGUCUUAUUUGUUGGUUUAUGGGACCGAAGUAAUGAUUAACAGGGACAGUUGGGGCCGUUUAUAUUUCGUUGUCAGAGGUGAAAUUCUUGGAUUUACGAAAGAUAAACUUCUGCGAAAGCAUUCGGCAAGGAUGUUUUCAUUGA
rnacentral:rRNA from 1 species